rnacentral:lncRNA from 1 species
CCCCUACUUUCCCUCAUAGACAGGUCCUUUUCUGGACAAAUUCUUUCCUUACCUUGACCAUGAAGCGCCAUGGGAUAACCUUUUCCCAUUCUGCUCUUGCUUGCCAUGGUAAAGUUCAAACUUCCUCCCACCUUGUCAUUGCAUCUUGUGUGGUCUACUGCAUUAAACUAUGGACAAAGUAAAUUAUGAUGUUAUAUUUGCUACCAGAAUAGAUGUUAGCAAUGGAAAUUUAAGAAGAAUUUUAAAUGCCAAAAUGGAACAAACCUUUUCCCUGGCUGCCAACCGUUUCAUUACUUGGCAAGUCAGGCUGUGACAUUCUCAUCUC